UCAUCUCACUUGCCCAGAAAGCCCACAGCAAGCGAAGUAAGCGUGCCUCGACGUUCAGCACCGUGACCCUGACCCAGCAGCAGAGCCAGGGGAGGAGUCCAGCCCACGGAGGCAUGGAGCCCGCGAUUCGGGCUGGGAGGGUUGGGGAAGCGGUGAGUCACCAGGUGAAGGCUUGCGCCACGGGAAACUCUCCGAAGACCAGGACAUGAGGCAACAAGAAGCGAAUCAGAGCCGAGACACCUCGGGCCUCAUGGAGGCCGAAUCCUGGCUGAUCGUCUGUGAUCCAGGCAUGGUGAAGAGUGCUUUACACGCAUCAGCCCACUGAGUUCACUGAGCAGCCGGACAAAUACUACUGUCCCUGUUUUAGAGCUCUCUGCUGUGGCCUGGGAAAGCAGUAGAAGAUGGCCCAAGUCCUUGGGCCCCUGCACCUGCACGGGAGACCCAGAAAGCUCCUGGCUCCUGGCUUCAGAUCGGCGCAGCUCCAGCUGUUGUGGCCAAUUGAGGAGUGAACCAGCAGUUGGAAGACUUCUCUCUCUCUGCCUCUCCUUCUCUCUCUGUGUAACUCUGACUUUCAAAUAAAUAAAUACAAAAAAAAAAAAAAACAAAAAAAAAAAAACAAAAAACCUCUACAUCAAAUGGUCAGUUGAUUUCCAACAAAGGUAUCCAGAACAUUCAAUGAGGGAACACAGAUGAUUGGGUUUCUGCUAUUGGACUGAGUUCCUGGCUCCCAGGGUUCUACACAGAAUACUUACUCAAUAAGUGCUGAUGGGGACAGCGCUGUGGCAUAACAGAUAAAGCCACCACCUGCAAUGCUGGCAUCCCAUAUGGGUGCUGGUUCAAGUCUCAGCUCAUAUACUUCUGAUCCAGCUUCCUGCUCAUGCACCUGGGAAUGCAGUGGAGGAUGGCCCAGGUGCUUGGGCCCUGCACCCCAUGGGAGACCAGGAGAAGCACCUGGCUCCUGGCUCCUGCCAUCGGAUCAGCGCGGUGCGCCGGCUGCAGCGCGCUGGCCACAGUGGCCAUUGGAGGGUGAACCAACGGCAAAGGAAGACCUUUCUCUCUGUCUCUCUCUCUCACUGUCCACUCUGCCUGUCAAAAAAAA